UGGGCCUGCCGCCAUUAAUUUCCUUCUCGACUGCAAAGCUGAAGACUCCACAGCAGAUGGGUAAAAGGGCGGGAAGUGGAGCACCCAUAGGGACAAAACAUCCUGAAGAACUCAAGUUAGUGUGAUCUAAAUAACCGCUCCUCCUCUUUUCAAUAUAUGUCCCUGUGCAUGCUCCACUGUAGGGUACUUCACUGAAGAAGGGAGUGCUGAGGAGCCACGUCCAGGACUGUUCGGAAGACUGUCAAAGAUAGUAUCAUCACUGGAAGCAGUGUAACAGGCAAUCCAGGAUCUUGAAAGGCGGGACUCUGAGGCUUGAGAAGGUGGAAGAAAGCACCAGGAAUAGAGACGUUUCCACUUUUGAAGGGACAUAAAUUCCCAUAGACCAGAGUGUUGCCCUGGAGUCCUCAGGCUGUAGAAAGAGGAGUCCAGGUGGUCAAUGAAAAGCUUGGGCCCUUCACUGGAAAUGUCAUCUACAGCGUUCUGCUCCUUUCUUAUGAGGCGAGAAGACUGAAACCAAGAUGUUCUUCUCAUAAUCACAGCCAUGGUCAUGGAUUUAGAGCAUCUAGAGCAGCCUGCAGGCAACUAACUGGCCUUCAGAAAUGAGGGACAGAAUUUGGUGUCUCUUGUCUUGUGGCAGGUGUUCAAUAAAGUGUGUGAAUUUCGA